CAUGCGAUCCUUCUUCCCAGUUAUUUUGUGCUCUGGCCUGGCCUGGCCUUCAGAGGUGCCCCAGGGGGUCUGCUGAAUAAUAAAAAGCCAGCUUCCCCCGGCUUCAGAUGGAGCAGAGCACCUCCCCCGUUCUGACUCAGUGGGCCCUGGUGAUGGCAGAGGGGGAGAGAGAUGUCUGAAGAAUUCUCAUCUUUGCGUCCCCAGUGCCCAGCUCUCUCAUGCCUCACAGAGCAGGGCUGACAAGUACGUGCUGUGAGUCCUGUGAAGAUACUAGAAUGGGGCAGGUGAAAGGCCAGGCUAGGGAGAGCUCAUCAGGAGGGUCUUUAUUUUAGUCUCCAUCAUUUAUCCCUUAUUGUGAUUCAUUCUGUUUUCUUUUGAAGACUCAAAAUUAGACACAAAGUUACUUAAAAAAUUUCCCAAUUCACCUUUUUUUCCUGCGCCUUCUUGUAUAGUUACCUUAUUUUUCUCGAAUGCUCUUUGACACCACCAUUUUAUUUACUUUAUUUGGAGAACAUUUUUCUUUCACUGGAGAGCCUUGAGAUACUCCCAGCAGGUUGUCUGUGAUUCCCAGAACACCAGCUUCAAAGCCCCUGAGUCUGGAGCUCAGGAGUGUCUCCAAGGAAGACCAUCAUCUUCAGGGAAAGCCAAUGGAUCAGAGGGUGGCUCAUUUGUAUGCUAAACAGAGGACAACCCUGAAGUCCAGUCCAGCUGAAAUCAAAUCAACACCUUGUCCUUGCCUUGGGGGUGCUCUCCCUGGUGGAGCCUGAAGACAGCACCAUUCUACUCCAGUAGAAUGAACUUUGGGCUGGUGCUCUUGAUAAUGUGGUUCAGCCCACAGCCCCGUCCUUGCCUCAGUGCAUGACUUCAGACAAGCAUCAGGGAAGCCACUGAUAACAGACGCUGAUAACUCUGGCAGUAACGGCUUGAAAAACCACACGUUCUGCUCGUUCACCUGUCUUCAGACUUGCGACAUUUCUUGCUCACUCUACUGACCUUGGUGACAUGUUGUCUGGUUGUGUUUCAAGGGAGUUAUGAGAUUGCUCUCCCUUGUAGACCCACCCCUAACUCUCAGUCUUGGAAAACCAGCGUUGCUAAGAGGAUGGAUCUUGGAUUCCUGACUGUUCCAGAGUCAAGGCCUUCACAUUCCCCAGUGCUACUUUAAGGACAGACAGGGUCUGGCAUAACAAGGGGUGAGGGACCAGCGUGAAGCCCUCAUGAGCUGCCAGGGAUUUAUGGUACAGUCAGCACUGGAAUGAACAGCUAUGGCUGGCGAUUGCCUAAAAACAAGUCAAUCUCUCUUUGAAUUUGUCUUCUUCAACUGCAAAGCCGAGCACUCAGGCAGAUCUCUCUAGGGACUUGGAUUCAGAAAUUCCAUAUGAGAUGGCUCAUAUAACUCUUACCAUAGAAUCAACAUGAACCAGGACAUGUUCUGAAGAGACACCCUUUUUGUGUUCCCCACAUGCGGAUGCGGGAACAUGUUGAAAAGCCAGUUUCAUCCGGGGGAGUGAGAGGUCAGCAGCUGGGGGUCCCUUCUGGUCCAGUCAACUUCCUGGUGUCCUUCCUGAGUCCCUGAGUAAAGAGGGGUGGCUCCCCGAUGUGCUCAUCCCCUGGGGCUUGGCAGCCAGGCUGAGGAUUUCCCAGGGAAAUGCUCUGCAGUUUUUGUAUGGGUCUCUGUGGCUUUUGUAGCACUGUGGGUAUCCCACCGAUCACAGUGCUUCAGAGCUUUACAAAAACCUCCCCUGGUUUCACUCUAUGUGGCCUCUGAGCACCCCUGGGGCCUGAUGUUUGCUUCAAGUCAGGCU